AACGAACGCUGGCGGCAGGCUUAACACAUGCAAGUCGAACGCCCCGCAAGGGGAGUGGCAGACGGGUGAGUAACGCGUGGGAACAUACCCUUUCCUGCGGAAUAGCUCUGGGAGACUGGAAUUAAUACCGCAUACGCCCUACGGGGAAAGAUUUAUCGGGGAAGGAUUGGCCCGCGUUGGAUUAGCUAGUUGGUGGGGUAAAGGCCUACCAAGGCGACGAUCCAUAGCUGGUCUGAGAGGAUGAUCAGCCACAUUGGGACUGAGACACGGCCCAAACUCCUACGGGAGGCAGCAGUGGGGAAUAUUGGACAAUGGGCGCAAGCCUGAUCCAGCCAUGCCGCGUGAGUGAUGAAGGCCUUAGGGUAGUAAAGCUCUUUCACCGAUGAAGAUAAUGACGGUAGUCGGAGAAGAAGCCCCGGCUAACUUCGUGCCAGCCGCCGCUGUAAAAC
rnacentral:rRNA from 1 species